UAAACAGUGUUUUGGGAUGAGAAAUUAGAGGGACGCACCGUUUAGUGAGCUGGAUCGCACCAUUUUAGUGCGACGCCGGUGAAAAGAAAAGUUAAGAAAAUCUAUCGAAUUUGUCAGAGCAAGAAGUCGACAAGCUCGUCUCCCCUUCAAGCCGCUGUUCCAACGGCCAUAUCUCCGGUAGCUUCUCCGGCCAUAUCUGUGGAAGUUGUCUGUCGUCAUCGUAUAGAGUUCUUGGGUUUGGAGACAAGAAUCUAAGAUCCGGAGGAAACGUUUUCAAUUCCAAAGUAGAUUUCAAGCGGACGAAGACAUUGCUGCAGAGGCUUAGCAACAGAUGCGGCUCUCUCGUUGAGUUAAAUUUCAAUUUGGCUUUCAGAUUCAGACAUUUAGUUUCACCAUAACAUCUGUAUGAUUUCAUCAUGUGUCAGUAUGAUCGAGAAGCAGUUGAUACUGAGGAUGAUGCAAGAAUUGAUGAUUUAAAUGAUGAUAGAGCAGACAAUACACAAAUCUCUCAACUAUUUCAACGAGCUAGUAGAAAUGAACAAUCAAGGGAAGGAAUUCGUCUCAGAGAAGAAAUAGCUACCCAAAUGAGGGCUGAUUAUGUAUUGUAUCGAUCUAGGGCUCGACAUUAAUUUCUUUAUGUUUAACUAUUUCUUUCUAAUAUAAUUUUUGUUGUAUAACUUUUUUAAAUAGACUGAAUGUAUUCAAGGACACACGAAAUAGACUGAAAACAAUCAAGCGGAAUUUUGUAAUAUUAAAAAACCUUUUGAA